GACGAACGCUGGCGGCGUGCUUAACACAUGCAAGUCGAACGAUGAAGCCGGAGCUUGCUCUGGUGAAUUAGUGGCGAACGGGUGAGUAACACGUGAGUAACCUGCCCUUGACUCUGGGAUAACUGCGGGAAACUGUAGCUAAUACCGGAUACGACCCUCGGAGGCAUCUCCUGGGGGUGGAAAGAAUUUCGGUCAAGGAUGGACUCGCGGCCUAUCAGCUAGUUGGUGGGGUAAAGGCUUACCAAGGCGACGACGGGUAGCCGGCCUGAGAGGGUGACCGGCCACACUGGGACUGAGACACGGCCCAGACUCCUACGGGAGGCAGCAGUGGGGAAUAUUGCACAAUGGGCGCAAGCCUGAUGCAGCAACGCCGCGUGAGGGAUGACGGCCUUCGGGUUGUAAACCUCUUUUAGCAGGGAAGAAGCGAAAGUGGCGGUACCUGCAGAAAAAGCACCGGCUAACUACGUGCCAGCCGCCGCGGUAA
rnacentral:rRNA from 1 species